rnacentral:lncRNA from 1 species
GCGGGUCGCUCUCACUUGUCCCUGGACCGCAGCCGCCGCAUAAGUGGUGGCCAACGCUGGGCCUGGGUGUGGCCGGAAGUAGUGGCCGCUCUGACUACACACCCACCCCCCAAAGGCUUCUGGGAGUCGCGCAGGCGCAGCGGCAGACCGGGUCUCCUGGCCUCAGUGAUGGAAUUAAGAUGACUUCUAUCUCUGAAUCCAAGGGUGACUGAAAGCCACAAGCUGCAGAAAGGACAAGAGGCAUCACCUAUGUGGAUAAAGACAGCAUCCUGAGUUGAUGGAGAAAUGGCAUAGAAGGAACCAGGUCCUUUGAUGACAUCAUGGAGCAAAGCUGUCUUCUUGCCUUGACCUGCUACCUACCUACAUGGGAAGCUGUUACUUGAGAAGGCAAUAAAAUCUAUCUUCUUUAUUGA